AUUGAACGCUGGCGGCAGGCUUAACACAUGCAAGUCGAGCGGGGUGAUGGUGCUUGCACUAUCACUAGCGGCGGACGGGUGAGUAAUGCUUAGGAAUCUGCCUAUUAGUGGGGGACAACAUCUCGAAAGGGAUGCUAAUACCGCAUACGUCCUACGGGAGAAAGCAGGGGAUCACUUGUGACCUUGCGCUAAUAGAUGAGCCUAAGUCGGAUUAGCUAGUUGGUGGGGUAAAGGCCUACCAAGGCGACGAUCUGUAGCGGGUCUGAGAGGAUGAUCCGCCACACUGGGACUGAGACACGGCCCAGACUCCUACGGGAGGCAGCAGUGGGGAAUAUUGGACAAAGGGGGGAACCCUGAUCCAGCCAUGCCGCGUGUGUGAAGAAGGCCUUAUGGUUGUAAAGCACUUUAAGCGAGGAGGAGGCUCUUUUGGUUAAUACCCAAGAUGAGUGGACGUUACUCGCAGAAUAAGCACCGGCUAACUCUGUGCCAGCCGCCGCAGUAAAAC
rnacentral:rRNA from 1 species